GUAUCCCUCUUGUCCAGCAGUGCAUGAUGGGAGAAAUGUAUGUGUUGGUCAGUUCCCCAUGUAGUCCCCUACUGUCCCACCCCUGGAAUGUCAGUAGGGAAACCCCUUGCAUGGGGACUUGCAUAAAUACUGUGACCUGUGAAUAAAACCUCAGUUGACUCCCAGCCUAUGUGUCGUCUAGUUCUUGGGAAGGAAGGAUUCUUACAACGCUACCGGGAUUAUUGUAUGCUGUAGUUAUUUACCUGGAUUAUUUUAUGCUGUUCCUGUUACCCAGC
rnacentral:lncRNA from 1 species